GUUUGAUCAUGGCUCAGAAUCAACGCUGGCGGCGUGCCUAACACAUGCAAGUCGAACGCGAAAGCGGCUUCGGCCGCAAGUAGAGUGGCAAACGGGUGAGUAACACGUGGGUGACCUGCCUUCGAGUGGGGGAUAACGUUUCGAAAGGAACGCUAAUACCGCAUAACAUCCUGCCUUUGGACAGGCGGAGAUCAAAGCCGGGGACCGCAAGGCCUGGCGCUUGGAGAGGGGCCCGCGCCGGAUUAGCUAGUUGGUGAGGUAACGGCCCACCAAGGCGACGAUCCGUAGCCGGCCUGAGAGGGCGGACGGCCACACUGGGACUGAGACACGGCCCAGACUCCUACGGGAGGCAGCAGUGGGGAAUUGUUCGCAAUGGGCGCAAGCCUGACGACGCAACGCCGCGUGGAGGACGAAGAUCUUCGGAUCGUAAACUCCUGUCGAGCGGGACGAACGGCUCGGGACCUAACACGUCUCGGGAGUGACGGUACCGCUAAAGGAAGCCCCGGCUAACUCCGUGCCAGCAGCCGCGGUAAUACGGGGGGGGCCAGCGUUGUUCGGAAUUACUGGGCGUAAAGGGCGCGUAGGCGGCCUUCUAAGUCAGACGUGAAAUCCCUCGACUCAACCGGGGAACUGCGUCUGAUACUGGAAGCCUUGAAUCCGGGAGAGGGAUGCGGAAUUCCAGGUGUAGCGGUGAAAUGCGUAGAUAUCUGGAGGAACACCGGUGGCGAAGGCGGCAUCCUGGACCGGUAUUGACGCUGAGGCGCGAAAGCCAGGGGAGCAAACGGGAAUUAGAUACCCCGGUAGUCCUGGCCCUAAACGAUGGAAUGCUUUGGUGUGCGGGUAUCGAUCCCUGCCGUGCCGGAUCUAACGCGUUAAGCAU
rnacentral:rRNA from 1 species